GGUAUGCGGCGUGCCUAUACAUGCAAGUCGAGCGAACAGACGAGGAGCUUGCUCCUUUGACGUUAGCGGCGGACGGGUGAGUAACACGUAGGUAACCUACCUAUAAGACUGGGAUAACUUCGGGAAACCGGAGCUAAUACCGGAUAAUAUUUCGAACCGCAUGGUUCGAUAGUGAAAGAUGGCUUUGCUAUCACUUAUAGAUGGACCUGCGCCGUAUUAGCUAGUUGGUAAGGUAACGGCUUACCAAGGCAACGAUACGUAGCCGACCUGAGAGGGUGAUCGGCCACACUGGAACUGAGACACGGUCCAGACUCCUACGGGAGGCAGCAGUAGGGAAUCUUCCGCAAUGGGCGAAAGCCUGACGGAGCAACGCCGCGUGAGUGAUGAAGGUCUUCGGAUCGUAAAACUCUGUUAUUAGGGAAGAACAAACGUGUAAGUAACUGUGCACGUCUUGACGGUACCUAAUCAGAAAGCCACGGCUAACUACGUGCCAGCAGCCGCGGUAAUACGUAGGUGGCAAGCGUUAUCCGGAAUUAUUGGGCGUAAAGCGCGCGUAGG
rnacentral:rRNA from 1 species